rfam:Legionella sp. LEGN contig_133, whole genome shotgun sequence.
UUGAGCGGAGUGCGGUGAAAGUCGCACGCUCCGUUCUUAGAGGGCUGCCUCCCCAGCAAUGGGGAGGUGGCUACUCGAC